GCCUGGCUAGCUCAGUCGGUAGAGCAUGAGACUCUUAAUCUCAGGGUCUUGGGUUCAAGCCCCCGUUGGGCG
rnacentral:tRNA from 1 species